CGUUCCCUGAAAAAGGUUGUGGGGAAGCUUCUGCCGAAUGUAUUUCUCGAUGGAAAAUAGAGAACAGUAACUGGGAUAUUUUCAUUUUCGAACGAAUUUUCAUUCCCGCUCGAAUGUGUGUUUCUCACACGUCUCUGUAUUUCGAUGAAACGAUAUUGAAAAUGGAUGAAAAUGAAUUGCUAAUUAGCAUGGAUAGUAAUUAGUGUUACUGAUAAAGCGAGAGUAUACGUGGGAAAGCAAAUACUGAGAUCUUUUUUUAACGAUAAGAUAUCCGAAACAUGAUAUUUUAAUUUGAAGAAGAAAUAAUAUACGAAAUGUAAUUUUUCCGGGAAAUAUUUGAUGGUAAAUUGUAAUUAUUUUAUAAUGUUAAUUAGAAUUGAUGGCAAUUAAAUGGCAAUUACUAUCA